GGGCUGGUGGUGUAAUGGUGCACACUCCAUCCUAUUCCUCGCCCCGGGAUGGCCAGUUGCCUGGCCUACCCGGCGGACAGACAAACCUCAUGGGGAGGAAUGGGUUCGAAUCCCAUCCGGUCCA